GAUCAUGGCUCAGGAUGAACGCUGGCGGCGUGCCUAACACAUGCAAGUCGAACGAAGACAUACCGACGGAAUCCUUCGGGAGGAAGAUGGUAUGGACUGAGUGGCGGACGGGUGAGUAACGCGUGGGUAACCUGCCCUGUACAGGGGGACAACAGUUAGAAAUGACUGCUAAUACCGCAUAAGCGCACGGUACCGCAUGGUACAGUGCGAAAAACUACGGUGGUACAGGAUGGGCCCGCGU
rnacentral:rRNA from 1 species